UACGACGUGUUCCUGAGUUUCAGAGGCCCCGACACUCGCGACACCUUCACCGACUACCUCUACCGGACCAUGAUCGGCCCGGGGAUCGCCACCUACAGAGACGGCGAACCGCUCUUCUCGAGUGGCAAUGCUUCGAGCGCUCGGUGCCUCCGCGAGCUCGCUCGAGUGACGGAGCUCGACGAAGCGUAAGUAAAUGCUUAUUAAUGGACCUUUUUUCAAGCGUCAGCCGAAAUGCUAUUCUCUUAAAGUUCUUGUAAAUGGCAGUGAAAACUAGCUGGAGUGGUUCAAAAAUUCGACAGGAAAUAUAUUGGUCGAUGCGUCAUAUGCAAACCGGAUUUUGAUAUCUGAGCAGUAAAUUUCAUUUCUNNNNNNNNNNNNNNNNNNNNNNNNNNNNNNNNNNNNNNNNNNNNNNNNNNNNNNNNNNNNNNNNNNNNNNNNNNNNNNNNNNNNNNNNNNNNNNNNNNNNUAUAAUAAAACAAAAAUAAAACAGAGACAAUUCACCAAUUCUCAUACAUAAGCAGUGCCAUUAUGGCUACUGAUAGUUACAGGAGUGAAUUGGAUCUUGUUCUAGAAUGAUGUCUGUAAUCUGGACGGCAAAGAAGCUUCUUCUUUCUCAGUAAUAGGGGGAAAUUGCCGGUUUAUCUGGGACUUGAAAUAGUGAUCCAAGUCAAAUGCUAUCUGCUAGGAAGUAGUAGUGAGAUUGUUAUUUGUUUUCUUUUACUAAAAGUGUUUGGUUUGCAGCAGAAACGGUGAAGCCAUUGAGCACGAUUUGAAACAGGUUGUGCUUAAGCUGAGUGGAAACAAAAGACCUCUUGGCAGCACAUUUUUAAGUUGGGAAGUGGGUCAGACCUCUGGGGUAGACGAUAAGAGUGUCAGACGAAGGAUCACCUCAUGGCAAAAGGGUGAGAUGUUGGGAAGGGGGUCAUUUGGAGAUGUCUAUAAAGGCUUCAGCGAGUAAGAUUCCUUUGCUUUUCUCUUUGAUAAUCAGUAAGUUAUUCUUGCUAUAAGCAUUUUCUGGGGAAAAGUACAAUCGGACUUCUCCCAUUAUGAUGUUCACUUGCAGUUUUGUUGCAUUUCUGAGUGCUGCAUUCUGUGGUUGGAAUUAGGAUGACUUCUGUAUACUGUAGAACGCGUUAUCAUUUGGUUGACAUAAGGUGCCUUAAAUAGACAUGGCAAAUGGUUAUUCAAUUGCUUAAAGUGCUCGAUCUUCAUAUUUGGAUUGGAGUUCUAAGAUUAUUGGUAUUUUCCUUAUUGAAGACCAUUCUUGAUCAUCAAACAAAUUGAUGAAGUACAGAUCUAGUACAUUAAAUCACGUAAGUUUAGUUGUCCAUUGUUUUUCUGUACCGUUACUAGCUUGAAUAAUGAGCAAUUCUUUUGUUCUAUUUUCAAAAAAUGGAUAGCAUGAUGAAUCAGCAUGUAUUUAGAAACCAUUAUUCUAUUGUAAAUUCAAAUGUUGAAAGCUAGGGAACUAUUUUAGUUAUAUUGAUGAGAGCAUCUCUUUUUUUUUUUCUUCUUUAUAUCAUCUGGAGUGCAAGAAUUAUCUAAACUAUGUCUGAUCAAGGCAUCAUUCAUGAAAGAAUUGGCAUUUAUAUUCUGUCUUUCUCUCACGCUUCUCUGUUUCCACAGUGAAGGAUUCUUUUUUGCUGUAAAGGAGGUGUGUUUCUUAGAUCAAGGAAGCCACGGCAAGGAGAGCUUGUCGCAAGUAAAAGCUUUUUCUUUCUGUAAUUUGUCAACUGGUCGCUAGGCAUAUACAACCAUAAAUCUGUUGCGAGUUAAUAGAUUUUAUUUUGACUCUUUUUUUAGUGAUGCUCUGCUUUCUUUUCAGGAAAUUUCUAUUUUAAAUCAGCUUCAACAUGAGAACAUAGUUCAAUAUUAGGGCACUAAGGAGGUGUGUUCCUUCUUUCUAAGUUGCUUUCUGCAGUAUCUUUCACUUUGGCUUCGAUUAUGAUACCACCGGAACUGAGCAAAAUGUUUAGGUGGACAUGGCUGUGAUCGCAGCCACAAGAUAGUUGUAUUUCCAUCAUCACUGCAUGAAUAAGAUCACAGCAGUUGCGGCCUUUUAGCAGUAACGGCCUAAAUGACAGACAGACAUUUUAGGUCGUCCUCCCCCCACAAGAAAAGUUUGUGAUGAAUUGACUAUCACCCGAGAUAGUAAUUAUAUGACUAAAGAACAUACACAGAGUAGAGGUCAGUUUAUGGAGUCUCCCUCUCUCUAUGAAAGCAGUUUUUUCUCUCCCAUCUAAAGAGAGCUGUCAUGUAAUCAACCCUUUCUUUUCUAGUGGUGGAUGAUAUACAAAUUAUUUAUUUUGCAAACUGAAGAUUCAGGUCAAACUCUCAGGACUAAAAAAGAGGAAUCUGAGGCUUAGAGAAAUGGCAGCCUCGGCUAAUAAAACAUAAAGGGAAAAAGGAUAAGAAAAUGAAGUCAUUUAAUUCAUUAGAUAUCCUUUAAUUGACCAUCUGAUACUCCACAUGACUAAAAUGCCAACCUCCUUUCCCUUGUCUAUAACUGGUUGUGGCUGUAGCAACAACAAUGGAGUUCCUCCACAAGCCCAAUUUUUCCUUCAAUUCUAGUCCAGCAUCAAUUAGUUCCACUCAUUUUUAUGCAACAUCAUAGAGUUCUUUACCUCUGCAAGUAGAGAAGACGGAAAUUGGAAAUGAUCCUUGUUCAAGUGAGGGAUAUAUAUCCUUCUUAGUGGCUUUAAUGUUCAAGUACCUUCCAGUAAUUCUUUUAUAAACAUAGUUUCGCAAGAAGCAUCAGAUUCUGGGAAAGUGCCAUGUCGUAACUUCUUGUUGGACAUGAAACGUGUCAAGCAAAAUUUGGUUUGCUAGACCUACAAUCUACUACAUUUUGUGGGAAUGAGGGAUUAAUGCAACAUGACUUCUUCUGCCAGGUGCACUAUGCAACUGUUUUUGUUGGCACUGUUGCAAUUUAAAACCAUGGUGACUUGGAUAUUUGUGUUUUAUGAAGAAACCAACAAAAAGAAGAGCUUGGUCCCAUGCGUUCUUGCCUUAUUUUCCUUUUAAGUUCACAAAAUGCUUUUAAAUCUGGUGUAGAUUUUUACUAAAUUAACUCCCAUCAAAGAGAUUCUCACUAAACGCUGAUUGGUUAUUGAGAAGGUACUCUACCAAAGUGCACUUCAGGAAGCAUAACCAACCUUAGGGCCUUGUCUAGGGGACUCUUGCCUUGGUACAGUUGAUUUCUGUGGGAGUGGUGUUGAGGUGAUCCAAUGAUUAGUUAGGUGUUAUAAGAGGCCUAGACAUCCAGCUUCAUUAGGAUGAAUAAAUGGUAAACAUCACUGAUGUAGUUUAUUUCAUUUUAUUUUGCUUUUUGGUAUGGUUGUCUCUGAUGAAUCUUGUUAAGAUAUCCUAUAUCAUUAACUUAUGGGGGUUUUGAUAUAUAUCAUCAGAGACAACCCAUACCAAAAAGCAAAUAAAAUGAAAUGUUUAGACUCCUCUCACCUAAUAAUUUAAUCUUUUGCGUUCGGAAAUGGUUUCAGAGCCAUGUUCUGUCUUAAUUUAUUUCUGUGCGUGACUCCUUUUCAUCAAUUCUGUGUGCACUUCUCAGACCGGUUUUCACUUGAGAGGUCUUAAAAUAUUCAACAGUGCUUAUUUAUGUGUUUUCAAAUACAUUUCAUCUUCCACUACUUAGUAACUUAAAUUUUGGGUUGGAUAUUCUAACAUAUAUAAUUUUCUUUACUCUCUUCUAGGAUGAUAAGAAGCUUUACAUAUUCCUUGAGCUCAUGACUGAAGGUUCACUUGAAACACUUUAUCGCCAAUAUAACUUGAGUGAUCUCCAAGUCUCUGCAUACACUAAGCAGAUUCUAAAUGGUCUAAAGUAUCUUCAUGGCCAGCAUGUGGUACACAGGUAUAAGAAAGAUGCUCGACCUUGCUUUAUUAGCUUUUACUAAUUGAAAUGAUGAUUUGCACUUAUCAAUUCUGAUGGAAGGUUGAUUUUGUUAAGGAAAGAAUUCAUAACAAAACAAAGAGCACAGUGAAACUUAUAUUUUUGUUUCAUGGCUCACCCGCUUGGUGCCUUUUGAUGAUACUUAUUUUUACCUACCCAAAUAUCAUUCUGGAAAUAAGGGAGUCGUCCAAUCCUUGAACCAAUAUGUAGUGUCAUGAGAAUGAUUUUGUAGAGUAGCUUAGACAAGAUUAUCUUACUAUGUGAAUGCUUGAAGGUGGAAAUGUGAAUUUGCAAUAUUGGUAACUGUGCGGGCGAUUAUAACUGUUUGUAUAUUCUAGGCACGGCUAUGCUGAAUUCUCAUGCUUCCAGUUCCUCCAAUCUGUAGGGAUAUUAAAUGUGCUAACAUAUUGGUUGAUGCAAGAAGUUGUGUGAAACUUGCAGACUUUGGAUUGGCAAAGGUAUGUCUCAUCAGCGAAAGUGAACUCUCUCUCUCUCUCUCUCUCUCUCUCUAUCUUGGGGGGCUCGCACAUGUGCGAUCAACAAAGAUGCAUGUACAGCUACAUGCGUGUGCAGGAAUUUUCACAGGCAUUGAAGUAGUGCAGCACACAUACAAUUGGAUGAGUGCAUGACAAACACACGUAUAGACAUGCACAAAGUGACAUAUAUUGUCCUUUACUUUUCUAAAAUGACAUAUCAACUUUCUGUGUUUAUUCAUACAGGUAAUCAAAAAGAAUGAUGCUAAAUCCUCCAAAGGAAGUCUUCGUUGGAUGGCACCUGAGGUUUGCACCGUCUGCUGCCAUUUUUUUUGGCAUACUUUAAUUAGUUGUGUUGCAUGGCUUUUACUUUUCUUUCAUCCUUGUUGGUUGUGAAUGCAGGUCGUCAAUCCAAAAAACAAAAGCUAUGGAUCGGCAGCUGAUAUUUGGAGCCUAGGGUGCACUGUUUUAGAGAUGUUAACCCGCCGGUAUCCAUAUUCCCACUUAGAAGAAGUAUGUAAUUAAGAACCUUCAUUUCAUGUUUUAUAUCCUUGAGAUCUAUGUUUUGCCAGAAUUAUUAACUAGUUGCAACUUUUUUGUUAUUGCUACAUUUUAUGUGAGCUUGCUAAGUUAAGCGCAUGUUGUGACGAGUCAAUUCGGCCAGCAUUCUGAGAAAAAGAAAAUGAGCAGGAGCACUACGUAGAGAAGAGAGAGGACAGAGAAUUCAAUGAUAUUUAUCAAGAUUAUCGUAAUGUCAAAGGAUAUGCAUAGUAUUUAUGGCCAACAGUUGCUUGAAACUCUGGAGCAAAUGGUUAUGUAACAUGGUCUGAAACCUCUGUUGAAUGUCUGAAUUCUUGACUUUCUCAUUUAAAUUAUUUGGCAUNNNNNNNNNNNNNNNNNNNNNNNNNNNNNNNNNNNNNNNNNNNNNNNNNNNNNNNNNNNNNNNNNNNNNNNNNNNNNNNNNNNNNNNNNNNNNNNNNNNNGCAUAAGUUUAGAUAAUCUCAUACUGACAUCUGUAUAUAGUUCCCCACCAAUAGAUAUGGGGUAUGCAUAUAAUCCUAACAUUCAGGCUCAAAACUCUCUCCACCUUCUCCUUCAAUGUCACAUGGUACUUGAGCAGCCGAGAGAGACUGAAAUCCUAAUAUUGGCAUCGCAAUCUGUGCUCCAGAGCAGCACUCACAGUGAUUGCUUCAUCUUCCCUAGUGUGUCCUUUAAUUGUGUGGUUGUCCUCUAAUCUGUCACUUGCCACUAUCAACUUUGGUGUUUCUGCCAUUGCCCUUGAGUGUUGAUCCCUCGCUGCUCUUCUUUGGAUAAAUUGUUGACCUAAAUGGUUGUCUCCUCUGCUAGAUUUUGUCACUUUCGAUAUUAAUCGUAAAUUCUCCGUACUUGUAGUAAGGUUUCCAUCUGGGAUGGUAUUUACUGGCUCUAGCCAGCAAAUUACUUUAUGAUGUUAUCCCCUUUUUAGGCAUGACAGCAUUGAAACGCCCUUUUGAUGAUAGAAUGGCUGCUGCUGAAGUUUGGAGUGCUCUUGUCUUCCUAGUGAAUUGCGAACGUUGCACUGCUCUCAUGCUCAUUUUGGAUUUAUUUAUUAUAAUGGAGAAAAAAAAUAAUACCAUCCUACUCAAAGCCAUUGUAAAAACAUGCAACUAACACCCCUUUUCUUUUUUACUUUCUUUCUAAUUUAGGACACUAUAAAUUUUGAGCAAAAAGUAAUAUAUACUUCUGCUUUAUUGGGAGCAGUUGGAAAACAUUAAUGUUGUUGGUCCUUGUGAACUGUUUACCUGUCAUCCAUGGUCUCCCACUUAAGCAAUAACUGUGAUUCUAGAACGAUUUGGUAGAUGAUUGCCUGAAGCAUGAUGCACUUAUAUUUGUCUACAUAUCUUAUUGAUUUAUGCAGCUAUCACAUGUUAGUUCCCCCUGGAUUUAUGAUUAAUACUAGCCUCUGCCACGUUCUCUCUCUUAUUGUGGCAGGCGCCAGCAGUGUUCAAAAUUGGCCAGGGUGAACUUCCUCCACUUCCCCCUUCUUUAUCAAGAGGUGCAGAAGACUUCAUCUUAAGUUGCUUGGAAGUAAACCCGAAUAAGCGGCGUUCUGCAGCGCAGUUGCUAGACCAUACCUUUGUGAGGGAGCCACCUACUCCUGGUUGUGCCUCACCUUGUUUCAACAACAUGUUUUGCUAGGCCAUCCCUUUUGGUCCAUUGCUGAAGGUAAUUUUACACUUUCUGUUAUUUUGCUGUUGCAUCGCUAGUGAGAGUAUUCUUCUUUUGGGCUAAUGGCAAAAUAGCUUCAUUAACUUACCACAUUUCUACUGUUUACUCAAUAAAUUUAUAACUUUUACUGGUCUGCACUAAACUUUUAACUUGGAAUAAAUAGUCCGCAGUCUAUGUUCGGUUUCCCAAUUCACUUACAAACAUUUCACAUUUUACCGCUCUCUCCAUAAGCUUUAAUGUUUCCACCAGAUCGUCCUGAACCUCUUCGACAUAGUUACUUAGGGGAGAAGUAGGUGAAAUUAAUCAUCAAGCCAUGAAAACAACCAUAAUUGCAGUUUCCCUUUGCAUAUAUUAGAACUUGGGAAAAUUGACGGACCUCGUGAAUGGUCUUGACAUGAUAUUUACAAUUCCCAGAUAAACAGCACACUGUUUAAUCAUUACGCUGGACAUUCGGAAUGGAGAAACAGAAUGCAGCAAUAUUUAGGUUUCUCUGGUGUUGAUUUUAUCAUAGGCUUUCCUCUGCUUAAAUUGUUGUUAGUGCACUCGCAAUGCUGCUGCAAUUCUUUGAACCGCUCAGUGGUCAGCGGCAUAUUGAUAACCGGCAAACACUCCCAUGGCAGCGCCAAGCUUACGAUGUUAUGCUUUCUUUUUGCCAGAUGGGAGUGCCUUUGGCAGCGAGGGCCAUCUAAUAAAUCGGAGAAGAUUGUGGUACCUCGCAAAUGGUCUUGGGCUGCAACUGAUUUUAUGGCGUCUUUAUCCUGCUUGCGUUAACAUCUUGUUUAUCUGGGAAUUGUAAAUAUCAUGUCAUGUUGUAUAUUUCCCAUUGGAAAGAAGGGAAGGAAACAAAGAUGUUGGCGAUACGACGGCAUCUCCGAUGACAAGUUUUCUGCUUUUACGAAGCGUAGAUAGGUGCACAGAACUUAUACAGGAUUUGUAAUCAAUUAAAGAUUGGAUGCGCUUGAGAUUCGCAAUGGAAGGGCGCAUUUUGUUUACUUUUUAUUUGUUUGAUAUGGGACCAUGUUUGGUAAAUUCAAGUGUUUUUUUUUUUAUUAAUGACGUGUCGAUGAGCGCUUGUAUCGUAUUGAAAAUAUUGCAUGGACAAAGGUUCGGUGAUGCAGGAGCAAAUUCGACAUAUAGGAGAGGUUUAGUCACAGCCUGCUGCCUGGACACCUUGGUCUGCUCCCCUCGGUCGCUGAAAAUAGUUUUCGUGAUACCGCUGGUCACAAGCACCAAUACGAAGAAAAUUAACUCUUGUUUGAGAACUCUUGAGUUCAAAUGAUAUCAAGGUUUCUUUCGACAAAAAAAUUAAAAAAAAAAAAGAUAAUAAAAAGGCUGAACUUAAUCCUAAUCUGACCCUAAUUACAGUCCCAUAAUCACCGUGCCACUGCUUGAUCUCGCCCCCACAAAGCCGUAGCCGUUGCUCCAUAUCGACACCUCCAUCAGCACGUCCCUGUCAUCGCCAUCCCCAUCUCCACUUGAUCAUUCGGCCGUCAGGAUGAUUUCGCUGUUUCACAUCUAUCAAUCACGGCCCCUCUUUCUGGUUUCUGUCGAUCUCUGAAAUUAAGAGCUUGAUAGUGGAGUUUUACUAUGUUUCAAUCCACUGUAAAAAAUUUUGACAAUUAAGGCACCCUUUACUCCUAGCGUUUAAAAUCAACCCUUAAAUUUCUUCAAUUUGUUGGAUAUUCUCACACCAUGAAGUAAUCAAAGAUGCUCUAUUCUCAGAUCAUGUCUAAAAGCAAUUCUCAGAGCACAAAAUACCCUACUAUUGCUUUUAUUGUACAUGAAGGUGUAUUCCAAGUUGGAAGUGAAGAUUGCAUAUGAAGAAACAUCCCUUCCGGCAUUAUGUCAACUCACUUGAACCUUAGAAUUGGUGCGUCAAGAAUUAGAUUGUAAUGCCUCAAAUAUGGCUAUAAAUCAACCCUGCAAAGUUUGACAGGAUGGCUGAUUCAUUUUGAAAUGAUGGCGAGAGGACUUUUUUUUUUUAUUUUUUUGGUAGGAAGAAAAUUUAUUCAUUUAAGUAGAUACUCUGAAGUGUCCCAAACAAGGUGAAUCUAAACAUAAGAGAGCCCAUAGGGCUUGCGGGGGAACAUAAAACCAAUUCUGUGGAAGAGAACCAAGAUACUUGUGUUUAGCAAUCCAAUCUUCCACUACAUUUGAGGCCCGCAGACAAUGGGCAACGCUGAUUGAGGGGUGGGCCUUGAGAAAUUGAAGACGGUCAUUGAUUAGGAGACGUUCUUCCCAUCUGAACUGAUCUACAGCCCCACUUAUCAAGGUUUCAACUAAAUCCACGCGAUUAGAUUCUAUAGUUAUCAGAUUUGGAGAGCUCCAAGUACGACUGGGGUUUUAGCUUGAGAUGCCGAGGAGACCUUCACUGAUUUAGCAGUAACAAUCGCUCCCUUGUAAUCUCGACAUAUACCAGUUAUGGCGCCAUCCACAGAACCAUCAACAGAGGAAGCAUCAACAUUAAUUUUCAGAGCUUUGUUCCUAGGUGGCGCCCGGGCCUUCAACUCAGCAAAGGUAGGAUUUUUCCUCGAUUCCGAUUUUUGCGAGUUCCAUUUUCUGUAGUUUGCUUGCAAGAAUAACGAUGAUUCAACCGUUUCUUGUGAGUUUAGAUGUUUGCCCUGAAAAAUGAAAUUGUUUUGGGCUUUCCAAAUGCUCCAUAAAGAGGACGCCACCAAAGACACGGGAAAAAUCAGCCCCUUCUACGGCAAAUUCCAUUAGCCAUGCCUUAAUCCUCGUGAUCUUCUUGUAGUUGGUUUGGAUCUUCAUAUUACUGUCAGCCCAGAUACCUUGAGUCGAGGGGCAAAGUAUAAAGAUGAGCUCGAUCUUCUCCUUUUCCCGUUGAUAGAGGGGGCAUAUCGGGUCAGGUAUGAUAUUCCUCUUCCAUAGGUUCUCUUUUUAGGGGAUUGCAUUUUUACAAAGAGACCAUAGGAAAACUUUACCUUAUGGAAGGCCUGCAUGUCCCAUAUAGCUUUCCAAAGUGUUUUGGGAUUUUGGUAUGAAGAGGAAGCUUGUUUAGGAUUGCGCUUCUGUUCAAUCUCUUUUCUGAUCAUGUUGUAGACGUUUUUAACAGCAUAGCUACCUGAUUUGGUUCCUAACCACACCAAUUUAUCCUACGCAUAGUAUGCUCUAACGGGGAUUGUUUGAAUCUCCUGCACUAAUUGCUCAUCAGAAAGAUCCUCUAGCUUUCAAGUAUUCCAUUUUCCUUCCUCAGCCAAGAUCAGUUUUGCCACCAAAACUGGGUCAUUUCUGUUUGGUGAUCCCCCAAUUAAGCCACUUUUUAACCAUUUCUGCUCUCUGAUUAUUACUGAUUUACCAUUCCCAAUGGACCAACUAACUGAGUUGGCAAUAGGAUCCCUCCCUAAUAACAAACUUUGCUGUCCCCAAGAAGGCUUGGAACCUCUUUUAGCUUGCCAAAAAUCUCCUUGAUGAAAGUAAAUGCCUUUUAAGAACUUGUUCCAGAGAGACUUAGGAUUCUAUGCGAGUCUCCAUGCUUGUUUACCAAGCAUGGCCUUAUUAACUGAUAUAAGAUCUCUAAACCCCAUGGCCCCUUGGUCCUUCCUCAGCUUCAGAAUGUCCCAUUUUUUCCAAUGAAGUAUUGUUUUGAAAUCUGUUGUUUUCCACCAGAAAUUGGCAAUCCUUCCCUCAAUUGCUUUGCAAACUGAAAUAGGUAUUUUGAAAAUCGACAUAGCAUAGUUUGGAAGGGCUUGUGCCACUGUUUUAAGAAGAAUCUCCUUUCCAGCUUUAAAAAAUAAUUAUUCCUUCCAACCUUCUAAAUUAGCAUUUACUCUUCCAAGAAUCCAAGCAAACAUAUUUCUCUUUAACAUGCCCUAGUCCGAAGGAAUACCUAAGUAUUUGCCUGUGUGGCCAAUCUCAACUCCUUUGCCAUGUUUCUUGUUAGUAGAUGAGGACGCCCCUUGCUAAAAUAAAUGCUUGACUUGUUUAAGUUUAUGGCUUGGCCUGAUGCAUAACAAUAUUGAUUAAGUAUCGUCGAAAUAUUCUGGCAUUCCGUUAUGGUUCCAUCUAAGAAAAAAAUCGAAUCAUUAGCAACCAAAGGGGGUGAUAGUGUCAGAUUGAAUCUGUUCAGUUUGAUAUCCUUAAUAAUUCUAUUUGCCACUGCUUUAUUUAUCAUGAAAGAUAAAUAGUUAGCCACAAGAAUAAAAAGGUAUAGUGAGAGAGGAUCUCCUUGCCUAAUGCCUCUUGAGGGAUUAAAAAAUGGGAGGGAUUCCCCAUUAAACUUUACACUGAAUGAGACAGUUGUCACACACUACAUAACCCAAGUGAUUCACUUGUCUUCAAAACCCAUUUUGAUCAUACAAGCUUUUAGAAAAUCCCACUCUACUCGAUAAUAGGCUUUUUGCAUAUCUAAUUUUAAAACCGCUUCAAAUUUCUUUUGUCGAUUAUUGGUUCUCAACUAAUGCAGGACCUCUUGUACAAUAAAAAUGUUGUCUUGUAUUGGCCGACCACACACAAAGGCAAGGCACUUUGUUCUUCAACAAUCAAAUCAGUAGCCACAUCUUCAGUCUAUUGGCUAAAAUCUUUGAAAUAAUCUUAUAAAUAAAAUUGCAUAGGUUGAUUGGGUGGUAUUCUUCCAGCUUUUCUGGGUCAGGAUCUUUGGAACAAGAGUUAUAUGGGUUCUGUUUAGCCUUGGGUCGAGAAUUCCUGUUGCAAAGAAAGACUGGACAGUGGUGAGCACAUCCCUUUUUAUAAUAUCCCUAUGGUGUUUAAAGAAUAUACCAUUCAGCCCAUUUGGUCCAGGUGCUUUAGUUGCUCCAAGCUGAUAACUGCCUUCCGAACUUCUCCAUAGUCACUUCAGCAGUAAGUUUUUCAUUUACUUCAGUUUUGACUAAACAUGGGAAGUGGUCGAUUACCAGGAUAAUAUUUCUUGGCCCAACUGAGGAAAACAAGUUUUGAAAAUAUUAUGUUGUUCGCUGCUUCGACAUUUUUUCAUCCCUAAUCUACUUAUCAUCAGGCCCUUUCAGUAUGGUCAUUCUAUUUCUAUUGCGGCGCUGAAUUGUAAUAGUGUCUUGUCCUCCCACUUAUACCAAUUGACUCUUGAUCUUAAUCCUUAGUACAUCUCUUCUCUCCUCCAAAUAUCCUUCAACUCUCGUUUAAUACUUUGCAUUUUAUUCUUUUCAAAGGAAGAGUUUGAACUAUUUGUAAUUACUUGAAGUUCCUGGUUUAGCUCCUUUAUCAUACGAGAAUUGUUGGUAAAUUUCUGUUUACUCCAUAACUGUAAUUCCUUAGUCACCCUUCCUAAUUUCACCACUAUUUUCUCAUCUCCAUCAUCAUCCAUAUUCCAGGCUUUGGAUACAACAUCUAGACAUUCAGGAUCUUCCACCCAGAAAGCUUCAAAUUUGAAAUCCUUACCUUUUUUCGCUGGCUAAUUCACUAUAGAAAGCAGUAAAGGGCUAUGGUCAUAUCCCACCGUUGGUAGAGCAUAGGCCUCCGCUGCAGGGAAUGUAAGACUCACUAUAAAUUGCAAACCACUCGAUCUAGUUUUUCCUUCACAUAAUCAGCUCCUUCCCUAUUGUUUACACAUGUAUAAGCACGCCCCUUGCAAACUACUUCCAUCAAAGAGCAGUCAUUUAGACAAUCCCGAAAAGCAACUAACGAUAAUUCUCUGCCAUUCGUUUUCCUUCCCACAGAAGGCUAUCAAACCUGCUUACUUGCCUUAAUCUAUCCCAAAUAAGUAGUCUGUCUUUAAAAUCAUUUGGGGCAUGAACAAAAGAAAUCCGCAUUCUGACCUUAUCAGCAGGAACAGUAAAUAAGACGUUAAUCAUCUCUGUUGAUGCCUAUUCAACAUCAAACGAUAUGUCAUCAUUCUACAAAACAGCAAGUCCCCCUGUAAUACCGAUCGGUUUCACAGCAAAACAGAAAUUAAAUUUUAAUCUUCAUGGCCGAUGAUAGUACCAUUAUACACUUGGUCGCCUUACUGGCUUUGCCCUACUGUUCACGAAUGCUUGUCAAGCAAACGACUGUAAUGUUUGGACUUUAGGACAUGUUGAAUAGAUCAUAUUUACAUUUUCUUGUCCUCAAAUAUAGGUAGAAGACUAACUCGUCUUUUCCUGUUCUAGGAGGAUAAAAUGGAGAAAGAUUCAGAGAAUGAAAAAAGGAAAAUGACUGAUCGAUUGUUCCAUAGGCAUAGUACAACGUAUCUGCAAGCCCUUGUGAUUUUUUCAAGAGAGAAGUCUUCGGAGGCAGACAGGAUAAGUACAUUGUCGUGCAUAAUGAUGCAGACAUGGUGUCAGGAAAAACUGAGUGGAUCUCUAUGCAUUAUGUUUAAGGGAAUAAAAGCUAAAUCGAUGGCUCCAAGGGAAUACUUGCACUCUUCUUCAUAAACUCAAGUGCAUUGUGGUCGAGGGAUAGGUUUCCUGGACAUAGGAAUGCUGUUUGCAUAUGGAAUCUACUCUGCUUUGAGGAUUUGCUAACUGUCCAUCCGUUGAGAGGUAAGUCAUUCCCUUUGUGAGCAUCAGAUCGCUUGCCACAUUUGAUACAUUUAUCUCAGUAAAGGAAUGAUUCUACCAAUUUUUUUCAAAUAACUGACGGGUGUAAAAAACCAAGAGGAGAAAUGAAGAAAAAAACAAGCACAAGUAGGCAAUUUAACAGUGAUCAUUAAAUCAAUCUAGCACGAGCUCCUCCAAAAUCUGUCCAGAUAACAAACACGUGCAAUGCUUGGUCCUAGCAUUACACUGUCACGGAUGACUAGAUAUAAUAGGAGAAAGCAUUUGUCUUUCCGUUGCCAAUGUUUAUGAGGUGGACAAAACUUAUGGUAGAAGAGACUAAUUAGAUGAUACCCGCAAGCAAUUCUACUUUCUUCUAGGAGGAAAUUUUAGUGGCAGAAGCAAAGGGCACAGACUACUGACUAUGUCAUCUCAAUUCUCAAGAGUUUGUUCAACUAAUUUUAGUUCCACCUUCACUUUGCCGGCACUGCGUCUGACCUCUUCUGGUAGCGCCGCUCUCCAGAUUUGGCUGUCGAUGGCCCAACGCAUUCAAGGCUGCUGUUAGCAUAUAGUUCGUCCUUGGCUGUCAUUAGCGGAGUUCAUCAUUGGCGUCACCCGACUUCGCUCAUCUGUUUUUAUUUGCUUGAGCUCGCAGUUGAUGGCCAUUGGGAUAUCGAGCUCGCUGUCAAGGCUUGCAGCCACGGAUGAGCCACCUCACGAGCCAUGGACGAGCAAGGCUUGUGGAUGAGCCAACAUAUUUGUGCAUGCGGUCAUGGUCAUGUUGGGAGGUUAGAAAUGAUCCUUCUUUUUCCUUUUUGUAUGAACUCCAUGUGGUUGUAUGUGGUCGGGCCUCAAACUCAAUCUAUGCGAGAAUUUCCCCUCCUGCGAUGCUUUUCCGUUUGGAUAUCUUAAUUCUGGAAAAAUUUUGCUUUCCGCUCCUACACUUUCACGAAUUUUUUUUUAAUCAACUUUUAAUUUUUCUAACCAAAUUUUUCCAUUUGCACAAAUUAAUUAAUCAAUUAUUCCAAUGCCAAAUUUGGGGAUGCGACUGUUAGACAACAUUAGAGCGUGAUGUGGGCAUAUUUUGUCAAUGUUGAUGAAUUCUUUUCUUUUCUUUUCCUUUUUUCCAUGGUAGCAUCUAUGUCAACAAAAUGUCCUGAUGUUGUUAGACGAUUAUAGCGGCUAAGUUUGGCCAAAUAUGGCGUUGGAAGAUCUUCAUUGACUAUUUGUGCAAGUAGAAGGUUUUUUGUUAGAAAAAUAGAAGUACCAGGAUUUGAUUAGAAAAAGCAUAGAAGCAGGGGACGAAAACUGUUUUUUUUUUUUUUUUUCUUUUUUUACUUCUAAUUAAUGACUAUUUCAUUGGAACGCUCUGUUUUUAUUUCAAGAUGGAGCAAACAUUUUUAUUUCGAUAGAGCUGUAUUUAGCUCUACAAGAUCAUGUAAAUGGACCACUUGUCCUGAAUAUUUACCUACCACUCAUAACAUGUCACUCUCCUUGAAUAUCGUCAUAUUGCUUCGUUAGGCAUUGCGUAGUUGCCUGAAUAUGUAUUUACUACUCAUAAACCUGUCACUUCUCUUGGAACUGUACUAACGAAGGAAGAGAAUUCUGCUUGAUUCAUCGCAUUGGUUGGGCCAAGCUUGAUAAAUACAAGAAUUAUUGGGCCUUAUAAGUAAGAAAAAAGCUCAUGGAGCACACUAACUUGUGGAUAAGCCCACUAUAAUAAGCCCCGUGACCUCAUUCUACAUUAUACAAAUGUCCUUUGGCAACGUAUGCCUUCUCUAUCUUUAUCCUCUCCUUCUGCCAAAACGAGAGGCUAAAGAUAAACGUCCGACCACUUCUUUUUUUAUUGGCAGUGCGAAUUCUUCAAAGCAUUCGGGUCUGUUACUGUCCAGUUGCGGAUCCGCACAAUUCGUGCAUCAACAAAGCUUAGUCCCACUAAUUAAAUUUUAUCAUACUGAUCUACUCUUCUUAAUAUUUUCUUCACAUAUCAAAUUAUGCAAUAGGGCAUGCCAUAUAAUGAAGAACUUGAAACAAAGACUUAUUUAUGUUGACACUUGCAUCAUCGGGUGAACUUCUAUCCAAUGACACCAACAACUUAGAAUUUGAAUGGAUCUGAAUUUAUAACUUAACUACGAAAUUUCAAUAAAGUUUUGUAUUCUGGUUUAUCGGAUAUUGGGAGCACACACGUAGCUCCUAUCUCUCUCUAUUAGAGUGCGUUUGGCAACGAUUUGGCUCCUAAGAACAAUUUUUGAUUAAAAAUGAUUUUUUUUAUUAUAUUUCCGGCAACAAUUUUUGAGCAAAAGAGCGUAUUUGGUAACUGCAUAAAAUUUUUAUUCUUAGGAUAGAAAUGUGUUUGGUAGGAUUGUAAAAUUUUUUUAUUAGGUUCGACGAGGCUCGACGUCGCCUAGGCGGCACGAGGUCGGCCUCGCCCUAGCCUGGCAAGGCCUAACCGGCAAGGUCACUAGCCCUCAUCUAGCCAGUCACCGGUCAUGGCCGAGGCCGUCGACUGGCCAAAAGGAAGAAGAAGAAAAUGAAAGAGAAGAAGAGAAGAAAAUAGAAAAAAAAAAAAAUUAGACUUGAUUUUAAGCAUUAUUCUCGGAAUCAAGAUGCAACUUUUCUUUACUUUUUGAUUUUAUUCCAAAUCCAUUUUUAAUGAACAAAAAAAUUUUAUUUUUGUUCUCGGAAAUAAAAGAUUUACCGAACGGAAUUUUGUUUUUUGUUUUUUUUAUUCCUGGAAAUACAAGAGUGGAAUCAGUUGUUCACGGAAUGUUAUCAAACAGCCCUUAGUUGCUCCACUCACUCCGUAUUUUGUUCUUCCCUUUUCCUCUCUUGCUUUCCGCGCUAGUCUCUCUCCCUUAUUUUAUUCUCUUCUUUACGCUCCCCUCUCUUUUUCCUACUCUCUCUCGUUUGCUUUCCGCGCUAGUCCCACAUGUUCCCCUCCUUUUGACUAAACUCUCUCCUUCCUUUUUCCUCCUUUUUUUCCUCCUCUUUUCCCCAUUGAUGUUGUGACGAAGUUUCUUAUGUUUGCAGUAAAGACUUAGCAUCAAAGGAAACGAGCUGCUGUAGCAUAAAGUUGAUUCUAAUUUGGGAUUGACCUUAAGUUCUAAAUGGCAAAUUCAGUUUACCAAAACGUGACUUGGGGUGCUUGGCCCUUAGUAGCUAGUCCUCCAUACUCUUUGCUAUCUCCAUUAUCUCAUCUUUAUCAGCAUUUUUCAGCAAUUAGCUUUGCCAUCCAAUACCUAGGUCAAACCUUGGUUAUUAAUAGCACACCCAUCCCACUCCACCGCCCAAGCUGUUUCUCCCGUUAAACUUCUCAAUUUCUAUUUUUGUUCCACACAAAAUUAGAAUAACAGAAUUUCUAGACGACGAUUAGACAAACGAAAGCUCCAAAUCAAAACUCGAUAGAUCCUAAUCUUAACUUUGAUGUUAAUUGUUGUAAAAUUAAAGUGGAAGCCAAUUGGGUCUUGCCUUUAAAUCAAUGUGAGAAAAUGAAAUAACCCAAUAAAUCAAUAAGGAAAAAUAACGAUUAUAAGAAAUUUAUGCGGUUCGAUCUGAAUUUUAUUCCAUAAAGAGAGUGAGUUGCAAAUGAUCCACUUCACAUGUUCAAGUUCUUCCCAAUAUUAGAUGACAUUUAAACCUGCGGUAUUUUGGCCUAACGGGGAGUUAACUCAUAGCUUGAAACGCCCGUCUCCAUAAAAAAAAAUGGCCACACCUUUUUUUUUUUCCUCAAGAGUAUAUAUGGCCCCUUCUUUUGUACGGCCGAAAGAAAUCCCACCUCUGUGCGCAAUAUAAACAAAAGUCUCCAAGUAGUCAAAAAACUUACAUACUUCUCUCCAAUUGAAAGCAAAAUCAAGUUUCGCCAAAUUUAAACAAAUGAAAAUCCUCCAAAUGGGUCGGUUUCUGUACCCAACUUAAAAUGACGAAGCGCAUGCAGCUUCCUCUCUCUUUCCCUCAAUUGCUCCGCUCCCUCUAUUUUCUUAUUCCCUUUUCCUCUCUUGCUUUGUGACGCUCAUUCUCUCCCCCUUACUUUCUUCUCGUCUUUACGUCUCCGUCUUUUUUCCCUGUCUUUCCUUUGUCUUCUUAUGCCCUCAUUUUCUUCUUCCGUGUCCCACAUGUUCCCCUCCUUUUGACUAAGCUCUCCCCUCUCUCUCCUUUUCCCUGUUUCUCAAUGAUUAGACCUCGUGUCGACGUUGUGACGAAGUCUCUUGAGUUUGCGGAACGACUUAGCAUUGAAGGGCACAAACUAUUGCAGUAAAAAGUCAUUCUGAUUUGGGAAAGGCCUUAAGUUCUAACUGGCAGGUUCAGUUUAGACAAACGCGAAUUGGUGUGCUUGGCCUUCAGUAACAAGUCCUGCAACUGUCUUGGAUAUUUAGGCAGUUACUAUUUAUCUUGUGGUUGUUGCUCAAGGAGUUUACUAGUAAUAUCUGUUGUACUCAGCUGCCAAUAAUAAUUUGCUUGAUUUUAUGUAAAGUUGGUGCUUUAUUAUGGAAUUAGGCCUAAAAAAAUUAUGCUUGGGAAUAUUUUUUGUGCUUGACAGGGACUUGAGUCUUGUCUGAACGGGGACGUUUCGAGGGCCGUCUUUUUUUCUUUUUUUUUUUAAAUUUAAGCAUCGGAGGUUGAUCCAGGAACGUCCAUUCUCGCUUUCGGGUGAGGGGUCAUUUCAAGGAAGCAGCUUCGAUGGAUUCCUUGAAAUCAGUACGUGCACUCACAUGAUUUCUACUUUUUAACACAAUCGAAGGCACAGCUCCAAGUCAAGCAAACACCAAAGGGAGACGAGAGACCUUUUGUGAGGGAAACCCACAAUAACAUGGAAACAACCGGGGGCUGCGGCGUCCGCUUCGAAUUCUCCAGCAAGGCAAAUUGCCGAUGGCAAUUAGGUGAUCAAUUUUUCAAAUUUACGAGAGUGAGUGAAAAAUAAGUUACGAACUUAUACUAUAUUUGUCCCAACAUGCCGAUGAGCACUUGUAUUGUAUGAUUGUACUGACAAGUGACAACAAUCAGGUUCAGUGUACACUCAGACAUCUAGGAGGGAAGGCUCUUGGGAACAAUAGUGGUGCUUUUUUUUUUUUUUUUUCAUUCUUGUUUAAUUUAGAAUUUUUUUUUUGCGCAAUGUUUAUAAGAGAGGUUUUGCUACAGCUUGCUGCCUGGACACCUUAUUACUUGAAAAUGGUGUUCGUCAUCCACUGGUCACAAACACCAAUAUGAAGACCUAAUUGCACUUAGAGAAAAGAAAAAGGCUCAACUUAGUAGCCACCGCCUCGUCAUCGCCCCCACAAGGCCGUAGGCACGUCCCUAUCGUCGCAAUCCCCAUCUCCAUCUGAUUAUUCGUCCAUCACCAUAAUUUCUCUCUUUUGCAUCUAUCAAUCGCGGCCCCUGUUUCUGAUUUCUGUCGAUCUCUGGAAUUAAGAGCUCGCGGUGUUUUACUAUGUUUUAAUCCACAUUAAAAUUUGAGGUGAGAAAUAGGAUUCUAACUAUCGAAGCUUCCUUUUCUCCUAGCAUUCGAAAUCAACUCUUAAUUUUCUUCAAUUUGUUGGAUAUUCCCACACCAUGAGGUAAUCGAACAUGCUCUAUUCUCACAUCAUGUCUAAAAGCAAUUCUCAAAGCACAAAAUAUGCUGCUAGUGCCUCUAUUGCAAACGAAACCUGUGUUCCAUUCCAAGUUUGAUUUGAACAUCACAAUAAAUCAAACCCUGCAAAGUUUGACUCGAUGACCGACUCAUUUUGAAAUGAGGGCAAGAGGACAUUGACGAAUGAACAAGACUAGAAGAAACUUCUGCUUUGUUUAAGUACCAAAUGGCACGUACAUAAUGAGGGAAUUGUGCAUCAAAAUCACAGAGGCCAGUCAGGUGAGAAGCAAGCAAUAAAACAGCAGUUGCUUAAGCAGAAAACAAAAAAUGACUGAAUAAACGAGGAUUUAUGACAAUUGCAUUGCUGCAAAUCAUUGAGCUCAAUUGUGCAGGCAAAGAGGCUAUUUUGCAUUCCAUAUACUCGUUGUAUAUGAGGAUGUAAACUCUUUGCGAAAAAAAAAAAAAAAAAAAGUUACACUGCGCGUUCCUCUUCCUCGGUGGGUAAAAGGAGAACUCCACCUUUUAUCUUUGCUUUUUUGAGUCCAUUUUUCUUCCCACGACAGACCUACCGACCCCACAAGUGAAAAUAUAUAAAAGACCAAAAGAAGACCCUCCUUCAUACAAAAUAUGAACAGACAGGCUAAGUUGCCAAACCGGUUAAAUUUAGAUAAUCGUCUCCAACAUAAAACAAAAUUAAUUUCCCCCACCCAAGAAAUCCAAAUUUGACUUGGACCAAAGCGCGUACCGAACUCCAACAAAUCAAAAUCCUUCAACCGGGUCGGUUUCAUACGCAGUUCAAACAGACAAAGCGCCCAUGUAGCUCUCUCUCUCUGUCUCUCUGUCUCUCUCUCUCUCUCUAAGCUGCUCCGCUCACUAUUUUCUUCUUCCCUUUUCCUCUCUUGCUUUCGGGCGCCCAUUCUCUCCCUUAUUCUGUUCUAUUCUUUCCGACGUGUCCGUCUCCCUCUCUCUUUUAUCUCUCUCCUUUGUCUCCUUAUGCCUCAUUUUCUUCUUCUUUGUCCCACAUGUUCCCCUCUUUUUGACUAUACUCUUCCAUUUCUCUCCCUCCUUUUUCUUUUCCUCAUUAGACAGUGAUUAGCGAACGAAGUUGCAGUCCAAUUUCUCCAUCAGCUUCAUUUUUUAAUCUUUUCUGAGGGCUAGUUGACACAGGUUAAGUUGAAAUAGAUGCUAUUGUUUUAGCAAUGUCUAGAGAUGGCGGCAACUUGUAGAAAUUCAUGAGGGUGGUGGCGUACCGUUCACAUGUUUGUCAUAAGCGAUUAGGCUUGAUGAAUGGACUAUAUUACAAUUCCAUGACUUUGGUCAAUUAUGUUGUUGUAUAAAAUUGCAUCAUAAGCAAAUGGUGUUCUCUUUUUCUGUUUCCUAAAUAGAAACACUUUUGUUAACAUGCGUGAUGCACUAGCUCUAAUUACAAAUUGGAAAGAAAAUGAGAUAUGAUAGUAUGUUGGACAUUGGAGUUCAUAAGGAUGUCAGUUUACAAGAUACAUGUUUCAAUAUUGAAGAAAUAAACUUACGUAUAAUAAUAAAGAGUAGAUAGCAAAGAUAAAAUGAAAUACAUUUUAGGACGAAUAUGAAUUGCAAUUUUUCUGUAUGAAACAUAUAUGCAAGAUUAUUUCUUAACGUAGUGUGAGAAGAAUCGGUACUACUAAGAGAAUAGUUCACAAAGUUAGGAGAAUUAUAGAGUAUAAUCAAUCGCAUGCUUAAGUGCUUCCCCAUAGUAAAUUAUACCUAAAACACUAAGAAUUAGUUCACAAAUCAAAAUACUUAAGUCACACCACAAAGAAAACGGAGGAUGGGAACUCUUUGCGAGGGGAAAAAAGAAAAGAAAAGAUCAUUGUGUGUUUCUCUUCCUCCGCGGGCUAAAAAAAGAACUCCAUCUUUUUCUUUUCCUUUUGCGCGGCUCUGCAGUUGAGGGGGAUGAGAAAAAUAAAACCCACCGGCUUUUCAUUUUUCUUCCUCCCACAAACCUACCGACCCUACAAGUACAUUUAAAAGACCAAAGGAUGCACCUCCUCUAUGCACAAUAUAAAUAGAGAGUCCAAAAAGUCAAACCGGUCAAAACUUAGAUAACCGUCUCUAACAAAGAAACAAAAUCAAGUAUCCAAAUUUGAUUAGAGUGUAGUGGAUAAUUUUUCAAGGGGCAGAAGUGCCGAUUUGGUAUAAACUGGUCGAGACUUAACAGGACCGUGGGACGCAGGUCAAAUCAGCACAAGAACCUGUUGGUAUAGGAACAGUAUACCCUCGGAUCAAAGCGCCACAUCAAAUUGGAACAAAUUAAAUUCCUUUCUCACCAAGCCAAAAAAAAAAAAACAGAGCCAAAUUCACCAAUUCUUAUACAUAAGUAGGGCCAUUUUAGCUAGUGAUAGUUAUAUGAGUGAAUUUGAUAUAAUUUAAGUUUGAUAUCCAUAAUUUGGACCGCAUCUGAAAGGUUCAACAUAAUUAUACUCUUUUCCCCCACCAUUGACUCAUCCUUUAUUGACAUCUUUCAUUGUUUCUGGCUACUUAGUCUUGCCAUUCAACACCUUAGACAAUCUUGGUUGUUGAUGGUGUAAGUAUCCUAACACUCUACAAUUCAAAGUUGUUUGUUCCGUUAAACUUUUCAAAUCUAUUUUUGCUCCAAUAUAAUUGCACCAAUAGUGUUUCUAGAGAUCGGUCAAACAAGCAAUAGCAUCAAAGCAAUUCCAGAAAAUCCUUUGUAAAAUAAUUCAGUAGUUAACAAAUUUUUGCAAUUAAUCAAAGCGAGAGAAUGAAACCACAGGAGAAAUCAACAAGCAACAAUAAAGAACACAAAAUGAUUUAUGUAUUUCGGUCCGAUGAUCCAUACUUAUUUCUUUGGAAGAGCCAACCGCAAAUAAUCUAUUACUUAAUUGGAGAAUUAUAGAGUUACAAUCUCUCCACAUACUUAAGAAUUUCCUAAUCCUAGAUUACACAAAAUCUUAUAGUAUUUAGUCUCACGCAAUUGUUCAAUAUAUAAAUCAUUAAAAAUUACCUCACGAAUUGAAACACUUAUGUAUCCACACAAAAAAAAAAAAAAUGCCUCAAUUAGAUGUCGAAUUUUCUGCACAAAUCACUGUGUUUCUUGCUCCUCUUAAAGACAGGAACUUUACUGUGUGGCCUUUUAGCUCUAUCUCUUGUGCAAAAUAGAGUCCUUCACUUUAUGCCUCAGUUAGGUCAAACCUUGGAUGUAUAUGUAAAAUCACCGCCCUUGGAUAUCUUCUUAACCAAAUCUUGGAUUAUAUAUCCAACAGAAAACCAAAUUAUAAUCGAAGGGCAGGCCAAAUCAAAGUCUAAAGACUUUUAACUUUAAGACUCAUAUCGAAACAUAAUUUGACAUUUUCCUCCACAAACCACAUUUUCAGAUGUUUCCAAGUGUUCGUGCUCGGUUAUAUAAACAAAAGGUGACCAAUUCAAGUGACGGAGAGGUGAAUAAAUCUACAAUGGCGAUCGAAUUCGGGAAUCUUGUGAAAUUGCGAGAAGCGUUGGAGUUUACUCAACGACGACGGGCGGUGAUGGGGUCUUUGCUCAACGGCGCACCCUUAUUUUAUUAUCGUCUUUACGCUCGCUCUUCUUUUCCCUUCUCUUUCUCUCCUUUGUUUUCUUGUGCCCUCAAUUUCUUCUCCCUUGUCCCACAUGUUCCCCUCCUUUUUUAAAAGGGUCAGGCUUUUCCCGCUCCUCAUUUGGCUUGUACAAGUCAUUCCACUGUGUUCUGACCAUAUUACCCCUUGCUUUUUCAAAUGUUAGCAUGCUCAAACGUGGUGCCCAUUGUUGUCCCUCUUUUUUAUUUGUUUCGUCUUCUACUUCCACUUUCUCCUCCUUCUUAGUCCGCCCAAGCACAGUCAAUUUAAGUUCUUUGUUUUGUUCUGCGUUUUUUUUUUUUUUCGUCUCUUUAGAAUUCUGGCAAUUCUUGUGCACCCCUAACUUAGACGAGAAAAAUCAUACUGAACGCCCAUUCCAUUAAUAACAUGACUUGGAGAAUCACUACGCCAAUCUUGCACAUUAUUAGUCGUUGGAGCCACCAAACAUUGAGUUUGCGCAUCAAAGCUGAAGCUGGACAAGUUGCUUGAGUAAUCAUUGACGGUGUCGGAGGUGUGGAGGAUCUAGGCCGGUUAGCGAACUCGGAGGUGUACUGGUGGUAGUGGGUGGGGGAAGAUGGAUGGCUUGGAAUGGGAGUCCACGCAGAUGAUUGCAGGUCUUCGCCGUUUUGAUUAGACGAACAUUGGACAUAUAGAAGAAGAAAAAGAAGCAAAGCGAGAGAGCGACGUCGUUUUAAAGUAUCUGGAAUUGGCGGAGCGGAACAAAAAAUUGGGAAAAAGAGAAAAAGAGGACUGGCUAGGUGGAUGACGAAAUGGACGGCGUGUCUUUUUAUGGGUGCCCAUAUCAAUGGGAAAUGUUGAAUCUUUUUUUUUUUUUUGUUAAUAAGUAAUUGAUUAAAUGAACUAAUUAAUUUAAUAAAAAAUGAUUAGUUUAUUUUCCCCUCCUUUCAAGCAAUGUUGGACGGACGAACUUACCUCAAAAUUGAUAUGCUCACGCAUGUGAAGACUGAUGUCAUAUUCACAAGGAUGAUGUCAUCCACGUCCAACGAUAUAAGUAUAAUUAUUAUGUAAUCACAUAAGAUUACAUAUAAUUGGAUAAGUACACUGGUGGGCAAAUGUUUGUUGAACCUAAAUAUGUAUGUGGAUGUGAAACGAAACUUUUAGGAUAAGAUCUUUACCAAAAAAAAAUUAGGAUAAGAUUAUUUUUAGCAAUCAAACUCUUAGUGAAUGUUUGAAGUUGGUCGUCAAAUUUCAACUUUUGUUCAAAUUGAUCCUAGUACUCUUUUAGGUGGUCUCCAACUCUCCAUGGUCAAGUAAUUUUAAUUGGUCUUCCCAAAGAAAAGCGUACGUGGCAGCAUUUCUUUUUUUGUUUUUUCCUGAUGGAGAAUGCAAGAAAGCCGAUCUUUGCAAUUAGAAGGUGACUUUUUGAGCUAUUUAUAGGUCUACAAGUACAUGUCAUCUUUAGAGACAAUACUUACAAGUGUCCAUGUACACAUAUAUAAAAAAUUUCUUCAGUAAUCCAUAGAUUUAGAACCUUUAGAAGAAAGAAUGUUACUUAAAAAAAUAAAUAAGCUAGGCAGAACUUAUUUAUAUUUUCUAUUGCGUAUAUAUUUUCUCAAUUUAACUUUAAUUUACAUGUGAAACAAAAAAAAAAGGAAAUUUGCUCCAGAAUCCAAUUUUUUGCAUUUUUUGUACUGCUAAUUUCCUUAUAACAUGUCUUUAGAUUAAUACAAUCAAGACAAAAACAUAGUUACAAGUUUACUUUUGCCAUAUUUUCGGAAUCAUGAGUAUAGUAUUAUGAUGUAUUUUCUUCCUCUUAUCAGUAUUUCAACUCUUAAAUUAUUAUAUUCAUCUAAGAAGUUAUAAAUAUUAUUAUUCAAACGACCUUUGACUCCUCCCUUGUAUCACAUUUCCUUUACCAUAGGUUAUUCAUAAUUGAAAACUUGCAAGAAAAUAUAUAUCCGAGUGAAGUGUGCAUCAAGUAAUUAACCAAAAAACCAUAAAAACAAAAAUGGAGCUAGUGUCGUUGCGUGGGCAGUUUUCUAAUGAAGUUACUAAGCUGCAAGUAAUGGUUUGCUGAAUGGGAUCAAUUGUUAUGGGUUUGGUUUGGCUACCCAGCCUAGUCUGAUGAUGAAUUGAACUUAACCUGCCCGUCCAAAAACAAGAAAAAAAAAAGUUGAAUUUCGGAAUAUUUUCGAGCUUGACCCGGGUCAAACGUCCUUCUCUGUUAACUUUAGGCAUCGGAUGCCGAUCCAGGCCGAAAGCUCGUAUAUCCGGAUCUUGCAUGUGGGCGCGGGUCCAUUUCGAGGAAGAGAACUUUUGAGGGAUUCCUUGAGAUCGGUUUGUGCAUUCACAUAUGAUUUCUACUUUCUAACCCUAACGAAGAGUUUGAUGAUGAAUUGAAUUUAACCUACCAGUAAAAAAUCCAAGAAAAAAAUUUGAAUUUCGGAAUAUCUUUCGAGCUUGACCGGGUCAAACGUCCUUCUCUGUUUACUUUAAGCAUCGGAUGCCGAUCCAGGCCGAAAGCUCGAAUAUCCAGAUCUUGCGCGUGGGCGUGGGUCCAUUUCAAGGAAGAGAGCUUUUGAGGGAUUCCUUGAGGUCGGUUUGUGCAUUCACACAUGAUUUCUACUCCUAACCCUAAAGAAGACGCAGCUCCAAGUCCGAGCAGGCAAAAACCAGAGCAAGACAGAGAGAACUUUUGCGAGGAAAGCCCCACAAAAACAUGGCAGCAACCGGUGGUUCCAGCGCGUUGGCGACCCGGUACGACGUGUUCUUGAGUUUCAGAGGGCCCGACACUCGCGACACCUUCACCGACUGCCUCUACCGAACCAUGAUCGGCCAGGGGAUCGCUGCUUACAGAGACAGCGAAGAGCUUCACGCCGGUGAUCGGAUCGACGAUCUCCUGAGAGCGGUCGGCGAAUCCAAGAUCUGCAUACCGAUCCUCUCCAGAGGCUAUGCUUCGAGCGCUUGGUGCCUCCGCGAGCUCGCUCGAGUGACGGAGCUCCAUGAAUCGACUGGGAAGCCGGAGAUCCUACCCAUCUUCUUUGAUGUCA
rnacentral:lncRNA from 1 species